rnacentral:rRNA from 1 species
UGCUGGAGGUAUCAGAAGUGCGAAUGCUGACAUAAGUAACGAUAAAGCGGGUGAAAAGCCCGCUCGCCGGAAGACCAAGGGUUCCUGUCCAACGUUAAUCGGGGCAGGGUGAGUCGACCCCUAAGGCGAGGCCGAAAGGCGUAGUCGAUGGGAAACAGGUUAAUAUUCCUGUACUUGGUGUUACUGCGAAGGGGGGACGGAGAAGGCUAUGUUAGCCGGGCGACGGUUGUCCCGGUUUAAGCAUGUAGGCUGAUUGUCCAGGCAAAUCCGGAUAAUCAAGGCUGAGGUGUGAUGACGAGGCACUACGGUGCUGAAGUAACAAAUGCCCUGCUUCCAGGAAAAGCCUCUAAGCAUCAGGUAACAUUAAAUCGUACCCCAAACCGACACAGGUGGUCAGGUAGAGAAUACCAAGGCGCUUGAGAGAACUCGGGUGAAGGAACUAGGCAAAAUGGUGCCGUAACUUCGGGAGAAGGCACGCUGGUGUGUAGGUGAAGCCCCUGCGGGUGGAGCUGAGACCAGUCGAAGAUACCAGCUGGCUGCAACUGUUUAUUAAAAACACAGCACUGUGCAAACACGAAAGUGGACGUAUACGGUGUGACGCCUGCCCGGUGCCGGAAGGUUAAUUGAUGGGGUUAUCCGUAAGGAGAAGCUCUUGAUCGAAGCCCCGGUAAACGGCGGCCGUAACUAUAACGGUCCUAAGGUAGCGAAAUUCCUUGUCGGGUAAGUUCCGACCUGCACGAAUGGCGUAAUGAUGGCCAGGCUGUCUCCACCCGAGACUCAGUGAAAUUGAACUCGCUGUGAAGAUGCAGUGUACCCGCGGCAAGACGGAAAGACCCCGUGAACCUUUACUAUAGCUUGACACUGAACAUUGAGCCUUGAUGUGUAGGAUAGGUGGGAGGCUUUGAAGCGUGGACGCCAGUCUGCGUGGAGCCAACCUUGAAAUACCACCCUUUAAUGUUUGAUGUUCUAACGUUGGCCCCUUACCGGGGUUGCGGACAGUGUCUGGUGGGUAGUUUGACUGGGGCGGUCUCCUCCCAAAGCGUAACGGAGGAGCACGAAGGUUAGCUAAUCCUGGUCGGACAUCAGGAGGUUAGUGCAAUGGCAUAAGCUAGCUUGACUGCGAGCGUGACGGCGCGAGCAGGUGCGAAAGCAGGUCAUAGUGAUCCGGUGGUUCUGAAUGGAAGGGCCAUCGCUCAACGGAUAAAAGGUACUCCGGGGAUAACAGGCUGAUACCGCCCAAGAGUUCAUAUCGACGGCGGUGUUUGGCACCUCGAUGUCGGCUCAUCACAUCCUGGGGCUGAAGUAGGUCCCAAGGGUAUGGCUGUUCGCCAUUUAAAGUGGUACGCGAGCUGGGUUUAGAACGUCGUGAGACAGUUCGGUCCCUAUCUGCCGUGGGCGCUGGAGAAUUGAGGGGGGCUGCUCCUAGUACGAGAGGACCGGAGUGGACGCAUCACUGGUGUUCGGGUUGUCAUGCCAAUGGCACUGCCCGGUAGCUAAAUGCGGAAGAGAUAAGUGCUGAAAGCAUCUAAGCACGAAACUUGCCCCGAGAUGAGUUCUCCCUGAGACUUUAAGUCUCCUGAAGGAACGUUGAAGACGACGACGUUGAUAGGCCGGGUGUGUAAGCGCAGCGAUGCGUUGAGCUAACCGGUACUAAUGAACCGUGAGGCUUAACCUU